AUGGCCACGUGGCACGCCACGUCGGUAGGGGAGCACGAGCUGAUGGCUGCAGAACGAGAUCUGGAUGCUUUGCGGGUUAUUUUGGCAACUGUACACUUGAAUUCGCAGAUACAAGACACGCGGAUCAGCAGGCAGGGAGGCAAACCUCUCACAACCAAAAUGGCCUACUCGACGAUCUGGCUAACACAACCAUCGAACCAACUAGCUCCGACCAUAUGGAGGAAUUAUGCACCGAAUAAAUGCAGGAUUUUUAUUUGGCUGGCAUGGAAAGAUCGUGUGUACAUGAACGAGCGACGCUUCCGACGGUCGGUCGCCACCUUUGUCGCGUGCCCUUUCUGUGGCGCUUGUGCUGAAGCGUGGCGGAAUGGAAUCGUUCCCUUUCUGUGUAUGGGUUUGCCGGGCUGCCGUACACGGAGAGCGCUGCGAAUCCGGGAAGAUGCUGCUACCCAACUGUCGCCGCCUCCUUGCUCGGCUUCUUGCCAUCCUCACGUUACUGCUGCUAAUCGUCGGUGGACAUGCAGGUCGUGGUGGAAGAGAACCCAGGCGGUUGCCCACGUUUGCCGCCUCCGAACUGUCCAGGCUGUGGAUAGCAGCGGAGCUCACUCCCAAGCAUAUGUCGUCGACGAUGGUCUUUUACAACUCACGCACGGAGAGCGUUGCGAAUCUGGGAAGAUGGUGCUGCCCAACUCUCGCCGCUUCCUUGCUCGGCUUCUUGCCGUCCUAACCAGCGGCGGAGCUUGA
rnacentral:rRNA from 1 species